UAUAUAUAUAUAUGAUGAAAGAGAGAAAGUGAGAUAUUAGAGCAUAGAAUAUAUGCAUAUACACUCAUUCACAUAUUACUGCUUAAUCUUUAAAACC